rnacentral:rRNA from 1 species
CGCCCCUUAGUGCUGCAGCUAACGCAUUAAGCACUCCGCCUGGGGAGUACGGUCGCAAGACUGAAACUCAAAGGAAUUGACGGGGGCCCGCACAAGCGGUGGAGCAUGUGGUUUAAUUCGAAGCAACGCGAAGAACCUUACCAGGUCUUGACAUCCUCUGACAAUCCUAGAGAUAGGACGUCCCCUUCGGGGGCAGAGUGACAGGUGGUGCAUGGUUGUCGUCAGCUCGUGUCGUGAGAUGUUGGGUUAAGUCCCGCAACGAGCGCAACCCUUGAUCUUAGUUGCCAGCAUUCAGUUGGGCACUCUAAGGUGACUGCCGGUGACAAACCGGAGGAAGGUGGGGAUGACGUCAAAUCAUCAUGCCCCUUAUGACCUGGGCUACACACGUGCUACAAUGGACAGAACAAAGGGCAGCGAAACCGCGAGGUUAAGCCAAUCCCACAAAUCUGUUCUCAGUUCGGAUCGCAGUCUGCAACUCGACUGCGUGAAGCGGAAUCGC